UGUUAUUUGGCCUAAUUGGUUAAAGCGCCGGACUAACUAUACGGAGUCGUGGGUUAGAGUCCUAUCAAAACAA
rnacentral:tRNA from 1 species